rnacentral:rRNA from 1 species
GACGAACGCUGGCGGCGUGCUUAACACAUGCAAGUCGAACGGUAAGGCCCUUCGGGGUACACGAGUGGCGAGCGGGUGAGUAACACGUGGGUGAUCUGCCCUGCACUUCGGGAUAAGCCUGGGAAACUGGGUCUAAUACCGGAUAGGACCACUGCCUGCAUGGGUGGUGGUGGAAAGCUUUUGCGGUGUGGGAUGGGCCCGCGGCCUAUCAGCUUGUUGGUGGGGUGAUGGCCUACCAAGGCGACGACGGGUAGCCGGCCUGAGAGGGUGACCGGCCACACUGGGACUGAGAUACAGCCCAGACUCCUACGGGAGGCAGCAGUGGGGAAUAUUGCACAAUGGGCGCAAGCCUGAUGCAGCGACGCCGCGUGAGGGAUGACGGCCUUCGGGUUGUAAACCUCUUUCAGCACCGACGAAGCGCAAGUGACGGUAGGUGCAGAAGAAGGACCGGCCAACUACGUGCCAGCAGCCGCGGUAA